rnacentral:piRNA from 1 species
UUUACAUGGACCCCCUUUGUCAUUAGUAGG